rnacentral:tRNA from 1 species
UGGAGUAUAGCCAAGUGGUAAGGCAUCGGUUUUUGGUACCGACAUGCAAAGGAAUCCUUCUACUCCAG